rnacentral:lncRNA from 10 species
CUCUAGGGCAGAAGGCUUAGGACCGGGAGGACUCGGGAACCGGUGGCCUGUUGUCCACCUUAGGGUUGGGCAGGGUUCAGCCUGUGUCGCGCGACCAGGCGGUGGCGAGGCCGGGAUCCCAAGCUGCAUCCAGCUAGCUCUAGUCCGCGGCCCCUUUAAGGGGGGGCGGUGCUUCAGUCUGGGCGCGAGAAGGCGCUGCGUCACGUGCGGGGCCGCAGCACGGACGGAAGCGGAAGUGGCGGCGUGCGUGCGGCAGUGGAGACGGCGGCGGCGGUGGCUGGCGUCAGGCUGUGGACGAAGAGGCGGCCUCGGUGAGCCUCCCCGCAUCCCGUGCCCCCUGCUCGCUGCUGCCGCUGACCCUUGGGCGCUGCGCUGGUCCAGAGCGUGUUGUCCUCUGACGCCGUCAGAACCUGAGCUCCCUGCGAGCUGGGACUCCGCCGUGUCUUCAUUGCCUCCAGUGCAAAGCAACUGCUUGCAAGAGAACAAAAGUGUGUUCAGGUGCACAGAGUAGAAAAUUCAAGGAGCCUGAAAGGGUAUUUGGUGAAGACUUGAUGUGUUUUUCCCAGUCCUAACCUCCAAGGCCCAGUUCUCCCCUGGGGCAGAGGGAAACCCGUUUCUUACGGGUCUGCAAAGAAAGUCUAUGCAGGAACAUCUACGUGCGUUUCUGCAAAAGGUCAGUUACUUUACUUGGGGCUCUUAUACUUAACGUAGCUCGGAGAGCGCCCCAUGCAUUCAGAUACAGGUGGGAUUCCUCCGGAAACGGAGUUUUAUAGCACCAGACUUUAUCCCCUUUCCUGUAGAAAUUUAGGGUUUUUGCUGUCUUUUAUAACGAACAAUGCUAGCUUGACUAUUGCUUGUACAAACCGUUUUUUGCCCAAGUCGGACUAUUUUCUUAGGUUAAAUUCCUUGGUGCAGAAGUGCGAGGGCUGUAUUUAGGCCCCUAAAGGGGUGGUACCAAAUCGCCCUCCCCCACCAGCAUAAGAGGGGGCCGGCGACACCCUUGCCCAAGCUGGAUUUUGCAGACCUGGUAGGCGUGAGAUAGUAUUUCACUGUAGCUUGUGUUUCCUGUAAGUAUAGUCGAACGUCGUGAUGUUCCUGUUACAUCUAUGUUACGUUGAUCAUUGUUACCACUGACAGUCGUUUCGAGAUUGG